CGUAGCUUAAACCUUA
rnacentral:tRNA from 1 species